rnacentral:rRNA from 1 species
GAUCUCAAAUCAGGCAAGGCUACCCGCUGAACUUAAGCAUAUUAUUAAGCGGAGGAAAAGAAACUAACUAGGAUUCCCUCAGUAGCGGCGAGUGAAGCGGGAACAGCUCAAAUUUAAAAUCUGGGGUGCUUAGUUGCUGCCCCCGAAUUGUAGUUUUGGGAAGGCUCAUCACGGGCGCCUCCUCGGGCAUAAGUCUGCUGGAACGCAGCAUCACAGAGGGUGACAAUCCCGUACAGUGGUCCGAAGGGGUUGGCGUCAACGCGUGUUGGGGUUUCCAAGAGUCGGGUUGUUUGGGAAUACAGCCCUAAAUGGGUGGUAAGCUUCAUCUAAAGCUAAAUACCGGCGAGAGACCGAUAGCGAACAAGUACCGCGAGGGAAAGAUGAAAAGACCUUUGGAAAGAGAGUUAAAAAGC